UACGGAGGGGGCGAGCGUUAUUCGGAAUUAUUGGGCGUAAAGGGCGCGUAGGCGGCCUGACAAGUGGAUGGUGAAAUCCCUCGGCUUAACCGAGGAACUGCCAUCCAGACUGUUUGGCUUGAGACCGGGAGAGGUGAGUGGAAUUCCCAGUGUAGCGGUGAAAUGCGUAGAUAUUGGGAGGAACACCAGUGGCGAAGGCGGCUCACUGGACCGGUACUGACGCUGAUGCGCGAAAGCGUGGGGAGCAAACGGG
rnacentral:rRNA from 1 species